UUCUUUGUUUUCUUCGUUUUCUUUAGACAGUUGGAACUUUUAUUGUUGUUCCAACUGUCUAAAGACCGCCUGCUGCUUACAGGCACUACUGACGUCGUCACCUGUGCAGUAGUAGUAGUAGUCUGCACGUGUACAGGUGACGAGGUCACUACAAAAACUUGUCUGUUACUUCCUUGUUCUCCGGCAGACGAAUGUCUGCCGGAGACACGUCUGACAGGAUUAAAAAAAUGUCCUCCGGGUCGACCCGGUAGCGACAAAGGGGGCAUGUGGAAUGAGCAUCAAGCCAUGUAUCAACACACUCUACAUGAAAAGCGUGUUUGCAUUUAGGCAGCAAUCGAAGCACUUCAGACUGGUUGAAUACGGAUAAGCAAACCGCACACUCUAGACCGUCUUUUUGUCCGGUUAAUGACCCGAACCGGAGGACCGGGAGCGACUCGAUUAUAGUUCGGUCGAUCCCGGAAUUGUCCCGGUCAGAGAACCGGACCGCCGUCAGUUCUGACGGCGGGUACCGGUUGUUCGACCGGCGACAGUGUUUGGCGUAGAGUAGGAGAAGAAAUGUGAUGGAGAAGACGGUGGUUAGAGCUCCAAUGAUGAUGGUCAUGCUUGGUUUGAGUGCGUAGUUAUGCGGUGCUGAUCGCGGCGGAGAAGGAAGCGGUUGUGGGAAUGGGGUGGAAGAGGUGGUGGUGGUGGAGACUAGAAGAAUGAUGAAUGGUUGCCAUUGGGAUUUGAAAAUGGGGUUGUAGCCCAUACUUGUAUUACUGUGUGUAUACAGGGAAAAUGAAGGUAUAUGAAGGGGGCAAUGGAAUGUUUAAUGAUAUGUUGG
rnacentral:lncRNA from 1 species